GACACAUUGUGUCAUGGCAGCCAGUCACAUUCAAUCUGCCGUCAGGACGCUGAGGUAGAUGAAAUCUUCUACUUGGUUUCCUUUCUUUUUACUCUGCCAGGACCCGGCUUGCAGAAUGGCACCAUUCACAUUUAGGGUAAAUCCUCACAGCUAAGUGAUCAAACCUAGAAAUGUCCUCACAAGCAUGCCCAGAGGUAUUCUGAGGUGAUCCUGGAUCGUGUUGAGUUGACAAGAUUAAUCGUCACCCUGGUCAUCGCUACUCCAAGAGAGAGGGACAGGCCAAUAGGAAGAGGGAACUGGAAAUGUCACCGGAUUGAAAACAUCCUCCUGUGGAGGUUCUACUCUGGCUUAGAAAACUCAUCCUUAUACUUCACAGCCCAGCCGUCAAGACGUUGGGGGUGGGAAUGCUUGGGUCUACCCAGUCCGGAAAUGCUGAUGGUGAACGGACGUACAGACACGGAUGGACAUGCACAAGCAUGCGCACCUCCUGGACGCUGCAGCUUCAACCCAAAGGCAACCUCCACCCUGUUCCAGCAUCUUGUAUCCUCCUGCAACGUGGUGUUUUUGUUUGUUUGUUUGUUUGUUUGUUUUUACUUUUGAUUUCUUACUGCAAAACAAUUGUCACCCAGCUGGUCAAACCCCGGGGUCACGUCUAUAACCCGGCUCUCCUUGCCAUCCCAUGAAUCAUCAAACGCCGCAGAUUUUCCUUCCUGUUAGUGUCCAAAAUCAUUUGCUGGUUUCCAUUUGCUUGGUUGAUACUUUGUUCUAGGUCCCUCUCAUUUUAGGUCUGAGAUGUUGCAGUUGCUGCCUGGCUGAGCUCCUGGUCUUCAGACGUGCUCCGUUCUAAAGGUGGAUUUGCCCUUUUACUGAACGAUCCUCAACUCCAGGCUACCUUGCUUGCAACCUACCCGUUGCAAAUGUUUGCACUUGAUUUUAUAUUUGCAGCUUUACAUUUUCAGUCUGCUCCAAAUCCUCUCCAUUUUGUAUUCAGUUGCCAGGGUAAUCUUCAAGAAAAAAAAAUGACUUUUUCUUUUGGGGGCAGUCUGAGUUUACAACAAAACAGAAAAGAAAAUACAGGCUUUCUGUGUCAGUCCUACCCUACUACCUCAUAAAACCUUCACACUCUUGGCUCUCAAUCCUGGAGGAGUACAUUUGUUAAACUAAUUGACCUAUAGUGAGCAAAGUGCCACUAUCAACAUAAGUUCUUCAUUAGAUAAAGAUGAAUUUGGGGGAUUAAAGUGGCAGGAGGUGUGAUCAAAGUACAUUAUAUUUGCAUGAAAAUUGCCUUAAAUCAUGUAAGUUAAAAGUAUUCUUAAAAUGCUAAUCCUUGAAAAAUGUAUUGCUGGCCUGGAGAGAUGGCUCAGUGGUUAAGAGCACUGAUUGCUCUUCCGAAGGUCCUGAGUUCAAAUCCCAGCAACCACAUGGAAAAAUGUAUUGCUCUAUCGUGUCACUUUCUACUUUAAAACUUGCAGUUGGUUAGUUGGGUGGAGAUGGCUCGUGUCUUUUAAUCUCAGCACUCGGGAGGCAGAGGCAGGCAAAACUCUGUGAGUUCGAGGCCAUCCUGGUCUAAAGAGUGAGUUCUGGGACAGCCAGGGCUACACAGAAAAGCCCUGUCUCAACCAUAGAAAAACAAACAAACCAUCCAGCUGCUCACUAAAGUACUUCCCGUUUCCCCAUCCUCAAUGUCCACGUUAGACCUCCGCUGCUCUCCUUGUUGUAUUUACUAACCUUAUUUCCCUAUAAUCAUUGGCCGAGAAGCAAGGAGCUCCACAGAAGGUGCUAGGUGCUAGCUGCUAGCUGCUAGCUGUUGACUCCCCAGGCAGUCCUGACUGCCACACUUACAUCUUUCCUCACCAUCUCCACAAACACUGUGAAUCUGCACAACAACAACAACAACAACAACAACAAAAGACGAGCCAAGACCUAAUAUGAAUGUGCAUCUGCUCCCGUCUGACUUUAUAAAUCUUACCCAGUUUAUGCCACCUGGUCAGCCUGUUCCUCCUGGCUAUAAUUCUGCCUGGCUCACAGCAGCUGUUUCUUGGAGGGAA
rnacentral:lncRNA from 1 species